AUAUUCGGAGAAACACGAGUAACGAGGCUCCCCCCAGUCGUUUUCGCCGAGUCGGAGGAAAAGAGACGAACGAAUAAACGACCACUUGAUUCGUACACCUGCCGACUUCGGGAAAGUCAAGGUUGCUCUGAUGUGCUUUCCGAGUGGUUUCUCGCGAUCGAUACAAUUUUGUGCGAGAAACAGUAGGGCACGGUCGACUCGUCAACGAUCUUCCAAUCGAUCAUGUCUCUCACCUUUCUGUCGAGAGAAGCGAGACAUUUAACAACAGUGAUCCUCGCAGUGUUUACGCGUAGGAAAUAACACAUGAUGUAACGAUCACGAAU